rnacentral:antisense_RNA from 1 species
GGAGAAUCUGAGACUUCUGAAGAGUUUCUUGCUUCUUUCCUGUGGGGCAGUGACUCCACUUCCCAGCAGUAAUGGAAUAUCCUGAAUUAGCUACAUUAAUGUUAGAACCAUUUGGACCUCACCCAGGACUUCAACUACAUUGUGGAUGUUACAAGAAAUGAGACUCACUACUGAAUUCACAGCAGGCAUGGUUGAAGGCACCAUUCACUAUAGCUUGCAGUAUUCCCUUUAUGAGAUUUGUAUGAGAAAUUCCUCUCGUAGGUCAAGUUCUUGGGAGAAAAUUCUCCCAAAGAGCAAGUCCCAGGAAAAGCUUGGCUGAGUAACUCCUGGACGACUGGCACAGAAGAAGGCACAAGGCAAAUACCCAUCUCUGUACACCCUGUGCUACUGUGUCAUGUGCUGCUCCAGGCAACUCCAAUGGAUUGGCCACCCUGGCCAAUGUGCCCUCCAAACACCAGCACUGAGUAGAAAGAGGCUCUGAUUCAUGAAAUGUGAAUUUAUGACAGUUGCCACUCUUUAAAAAAAAACAGACAGAACUUGAGCAAUACAUGACUGAUGCAUUCUCAGCCUGCUUCCUGUGUUCCAUCUGUCUUUCUGGCAGUGCAUUCACCCUCCAGGUUCUAGUAUGUUAGGUUUAUGUUCCCCUGCUUUCUACAAUCCUGUUCAAAGAGUUGCUGACUUAACCACAGAGAGAAUUCCAGAACAUGAGACACAGAAUAAACUUGAACAAUCAUAGUCCAUCCACUUCAUUUUCUCAUCGAAAACCAAAGGUCCAGUGAGGCUCUGGAACUCGACGCUGUAAAGGAG